AUUGAACGCUGGCGGCAUGCCUUACACAUGCCAGUCGAACGGUAACGGGCCUUCGGGUGCCGACGAGUGGCGAACGGGUGAGUAAUACAUCGGAACGUGCCCGAUCGUGGGGGAUAACGAGGCGAAAGCUUUGCUAAUACCGCAUACGAUCUACGGAUGAAAGCAGGGGACCGCAAGGCCUUGCGCGGACGGAGCGGCCGAUGGCAGAUUAGGUAGUUGGUGGGAUAAAAGCUUACCAAGCCGACGAUCUGUAGCUGGUCUGAGAGGAUGAUCAGCCACACUGGGACUGAGACACGGCCCAGACUCCUACGGGAGGCAGCAGUGGGGAAUUUUGGACAAUGGGCGCAAGCCUGAUCCAGCCAUGCCGCGUGCAGGAUGAAGGCCUUCGGGUUGUAAACUGCUUUUGUACGGAACGAAAAGCCUUCUUUUAAUACAGGAGGGUCAUGACGGUACCGUAAGAAUAAGCACCAGCUAACUACGUG
rnacentral:rRNA from 1 species